rnacentral:lncRNA from 1 species
GUCUAUGUCUGGCUGUCGGUCAGGGUUCAUAUACUUUUGACCUUCUGUUCCGAAUUAAUUGGCCAAGCAUAACUUUUACAUUUGUCAGUUUCUAAGGCACUGUAAGAAUCGGAACACAUUUAUUUGGUGUACGGGAUAUUUGUAGAGAUCUGUAUGGCAUGGUAUUCUGACCUUGAACUCUUUUAAUGAACCAUUGACAAUCUUAAGCGCAUUUGACACUUCUAGUAAAACCCUUGAUAUUAUAGACGUUCAACAAAUAUACCAUCAUAAGUAAAGCAG